rnacentral:rRNA from 1 species
GAGGUAAUGGCUCACCAAGGCAGCGAUCCGUAGAUGGUCUGAGAGGAUGAUCAGUCACUCCGCAAUUGAGACACGGUCCAGACUCCUACGGGAGGCAGCAGUGCGGAAUAUUGGACAAUGGGGGGAACCAUGAUCCAGCCAUGCCGCGUGGGUGAAGAAGGUAUGAGGAUUGUAAAGCACUUUAAGUUGGGAGGAAGGGCAGUUACCUUAUAUUUGAUUGUUUUGACGUUACCGACAGAAUAAGCACCGGCUAAAUUUGUGCCAGCAGCCGCGGUAAUAUAAAGGGUGCAAGCGUUAAUUGGAAUUACUGGGCGUAAAGCGCGCGUAGGUGGUUGGUUAAAAUUGGAGUGAAAGCCCCGGGCUCAACCUGGGAAUUGCUUAUAAAACUGGCGGGCUAGAGUAUGGUAGAGGAUGGUGGAAUUUCCUGUGUACCGGUGAAAUGCGUAGAUAUAGGAAGGAACAUCAGUGGUGAAGAAGACCACCUGGACUAUUAUAAACAACGAGAAGCGAAAAAGUGGGGAGCAAACAGGAUUAGAUACCCCCGUAGUCCACCCCGUAAACGAUGUCAAUCUAGUUGUUGGGUUCCUUGAGCACUUAGUAACGCAG